UACGAAGGGUGCAAACGUUGCUCGGAAUUAUUGGGCGUAAAGAGCUCGUAGGCGGUUUGUCGCGUCGGCUGUGAAAACUCGGGGCUCAACUCCGAGCCUGCAGUCGAUACGGGCAGACUAGAGUGCGGUAGGGGAGACUGGAAUUCCUGGUGUAGCGGUGAAAUGCGCAGAUAUCAGGAGGAACACCGGUGGCGAAGGCGGGUCUCUGGGCCGUAACUGACGCUGAGGAGCGAAAGCGUGGGGAGCGAACAGG
rnacentral:rRNA from 1 species